rnacentral:RNase_P_RNA from 1 species
GCGAUGAACCUGACCGCCGCGGUGUACGGGCUUUCGGGCUUGUAUAUCGAGGAAAGUCCGGGCUCCGCAGGGCAUGAUGCCGGGUAACGCCCGGGAGAAAGGUUUGAAUCGGAAGGGCGCGGUCCGGAGGAUUGCGGUCUAAAGAUAUUCGGCUUUUCGACAGAAAGCGCAGCAGAAAGUAAACCGCCGGGGCUUUUUCAACCGAAAAAGUUCCGGUAAGGGUGAAACGGCGGGGUAAGAGCCCGCCUCGGUGGCGGCGACAUCACCGGAAAGAUCCCGGCGGAGAAAACCUUUUCCCCGCCGGGAAACGGCAAGCCUCAUCAGGAGCAAAGUCAAAAAGCGCGCCGGCGGCCCGCCGGUCAAGCGCAGGUAGGCUGCUUGACGCCUCCGGCAACGGAGACGCCAGAUAGAUGACGGUCACAUUUAUGCGGCUUCCGCAUAAAUGUAACAGAAUCCGGCUUAUGGUUCAUCGCUUUU